AAUGAACGCUGGCGGUAGGCCUAACACAUGCAAGUCGAACGGCAGCACAGUAAUAGCUUGCUCUUACGGUUGGCGAGUGGCGGACGGGUGGGGAAUACAUCGGAAUCUACUUUUGCGUGGGGGAUAACGUAGGGAAACUUACGCUAAUACCGCAUCCGACCUACGGGUGAAAGCAGGGGAUCUUCGGACCUUUCGCGAUUGAAUGAGCCGAUGUCGGAUUAGCUAGUUGGCGGGGUAAAGGCCCACCAAGGCGACGAUCCGUAGCUGGUCUGAGAGGAUGAUCAGCCACACUGGAACUGAGACACGGCCCAGACUCCUACGGGAGGCAGCAGUGCGGAAUAUUGGACAAUGGGCGGAAGCCUGAUCCAGCCAUACCGCGCGGGUGAAGAAGGCCUUCGGGUUGUAAAGCCCUUUUGUUGGGAAAGAAAAGCAGCAGGUUAAUACCCCGCUGUUCUGACGGUACCCUAAGAAUAAGCACCGGCUAACUUCGUG
rnacentral:rRNA from 1 species